AGUGGGGGAUAACGUAGUGAAAGUUACGCUAAUACCGCAUAUGCCCUGAGGGGGAAAGGAGGGGAUCGUAAGACCUUUCGCUUUCGGAGUGGCCGAUAUCGGAUUAGCUAGUAGGUGAGGUAAAGGCUCACCUAGGCGACGAUCCGUAGCUGGUCUGAGAGGACGACCAGCCACACUGGGACUGAGACACGGCCCAGACUCCUACGGGAGGCAGCAGUGGGGAAUUUUGGACAAUGGGCGCAAGCCUGAUCCAGCCAUGCCGCGUGAGUGAAGAAGGCCUUCGGGUUGUAAAGCUCUUUCGGACAGAAAGAAAUCCUAUCCGCUAAUACCGGGUGGGGAUGACGGUACUGUAAGAAGAAGCACCGGCUAACUACGUGCCAGCAGCCGCGGUAAUACGUAGGGUGCGAGCGUUAAUCGGAAUUACUGGGCGUAAAGCGUGCGCAGGCGGUUUGGUAAGACAGACGUGAAAUCCCCGGGCUUAACCUGGGAACUGCGUUUGUGACUGCCAGACUAGAGUGUAGCAGAGGGGGGUAGAAUUCCA
rnacentral:rRNA from 1 species